GAUGGCUCGCCUUAAAUGAAUUAGCUGGACUUGUUCAUGAGGGACUGGUUUGACUUGGCGUAAUAAGUAUUUCGCUGAGGACAUCUUUGGAUGGCCAACCUUCUUGACGGCUGUCUGCUUUCAAAUCCCUUUGUACUCCUCGGAGACAAGACUUUUUAUCAUUUGGCCUCAAAUCAGGUAGGACUACCCGCUGAACUUAA
rnacentral:misc_RNA from 1 species